rnacentral:rRNA from 1 species
GAGGAAUAUUGGGCAAUGCCCGCAAGGGUGACCCAGCAACGCCGCGUGGAGGAUGAAUGUCGUAAGAUUGUAAACUCCUGUUAGAGGGGAAGAAUAGUACCGGUUGGACCGGUAUAUGACUGUACCCUCAGAGAAAGCCCCGGCUAACUACGUGCCAGCAGCCGCGGUAAUACGUAGGGGGCAAGCGUUGUCCGGAUUUACUGGGUGUAAAGGGCGCGCAGGCGGGAUAAAAAGUCAGUGGUGAAAUCCUACAGCUUAACUGUAGAACUGCCUUAGAUACUUUUAUUCUUGAGUUCGGGAGAGAGAGACGGAAUUCCAGGUGUAGUGGUGAAAUACGUAGAUAUCUGGAAGAACACCAGUUGCGAAGGCGGUCUCUUGGUCCGACACUGACGCUGAGGCGCGAAAGCGUGGGGAGCAAACA